rnacentral:rRNA from 1 species
GGGUCAGUAGGUUGGUCGUGCCACCGGUACGUACUGGUCUCACUGAUUCCUCCUUCCUGAAGAACCGUAAUGCCAUUAAUUUGGUGUUGCGGGGAAACAGGACUGUUACUUUGAAAAAAUUAGAGUGUUUAAAGCAAGCUAACGCUUGAAUACAUUAGCAUGGAAUAACGAAAUAGGACGAUCGAUCCUAUUUUGUUGGUUUCUAGGAUUGACGUA